rnacentral:tRNA from 1 species
GCUAGUUCAGUUGGUAGAACUUCUGACUCUUGAUCACAGGGUUGUGAGUUCAAGCCCCACAUUGAGCA